rnacentral:misc_RNA from 1 species
GAUGAAGAACGCAGCGAAAUGCGAUAAGUAAUGUGAAUUGCAGAAUUCAGUGAAUCAUCGAAUCUUUGAACGCACAUUGCGCCCGCCAGUAUUCUGGCGGGCAUGCCUGUUCGAGCGUCAUUACAACCCUCAGGCCCCCGGGCCUGGCGUUGGGGAUCGGCGGAGCCCCCCGUGGGCACAGGCCGUCCCCCAAAUGCAGUGGCGGUCCCGCCGCAGCUUCCAUCGCGUAGUAGCUAACACCUCGCGACUGGAGAGCGGCGCGGCCACGCCGUAAAACACCCAACUCUUCUGAAGUUGACCUCGAAUCAGGUAGGAAUACCCGCUGAACUUAAGCAUAUCAAUAAGCGGAGGA